rnacentral:rRNA from 1 species
UGGGCAACCUGCCCUCAGCUCUGGGAUAACUCCAAGUAAUUGGGGCUAAUACCGGAUAUGACCGCUGACCGCAUGGUCUGGUGGUGGAAGGAUUUAUCGGCUGGGGAUGGGCCCGCGGCCUAUCAGCUUGUUGGUGGGGUAGUGGCCUACCAAGGCGACGACGGGUAGCCGGCCUGAGAGGGCGACCGGCCACACUGGGACUGAGACACGGCCCAGACUCCUACGGGA